rnacentral:piRNA from 1 species
UAAGCUAGAUCCUGGAUCUGAAGGAAUCA